rnacentral:rRNA from 1 species
GACGGAGGGUGCUAACGUUGCUCGGAAUUACUGGGCGUAAAGCGCGUGUAGGCGGGUUGGAAAGCGGGAUGUGAAAGCCCUCGGCUCAACCGAGGAAGUGCAUUUCGAACUACUAGCCUUGAGUGCGGGAGAGGGAGGUAGAAUUCCCGGUGUAGAGGUGAAAUUCGUAGAUAUCGGGAGGAAUACCGGUGGCGAAGGCGGCCUCCUGGACCGACACUGACGCUGAGACGCGAAAGCGUGGGGAGCAAACAGGAUUAGAUACCCGCGUA